rnacentral:rRNA from 1 species
UACGUAGGGGGCAAGCGUUGUCCGGAUUUAUUGGGCGUAAAGAGCGUGUAGGCGGUUAGGUAGGUCCGUUGUGAAAAACUCGAGGCUCAACCUCGAGACGCCGAUGGAAACCAUCUAACUAGAGUCCGGAAGAGGAGAGUGGAAUUCCUGGUGUAGCGGUGAAAUGCGCAGAUAUCAGGAAGAACACCCGUGGCUAAGGCGGCUCUCUAGUACGGUACUGACGCUGAGACGCGAAAGCGUGGGGAGCGAACAGG